UCUCCGUUGGUGAACCAGCGGAGGGAUCAUUACAGAGUUUUCACACCUCCCAACCCUCGCGAACCGUACCCAUUCUGUUCUCGUUGCUUCCGGCGGGGGGGACGGGGGGGCCCGAAACGGCUCCCCCGCCCCGCCCGCCGGGGGCGGCGGGCCCUACGAACCUUUAUUUCUCAACCACCAGAAACCGUCUGAGAAAACAAACAAAAUAAUCAAAAAUUUAAAAAACGGACCUCUUGGCUCUGGCACCGAUGAAGAACGAAGCAGAACGGAAGAGCACAC
rnacentral:misc_RNA from 1 species